UCUUCAUUCCACGUACUCUCUCGUCGGUCAGAGAUGCGAGAGAUCACGGGAUAUGAAGAGA
rnacentral:pre_miRNA from 1 species